CAUUAGUUAAGGUAUUUAGAAAAAAAUGCUGAAACCCUUUCAUUUUUAAUAUUUUUUUUUUGGAUUUUUUCAAUUUUUUUUAUAAAGCACGAUAUUUGAUGCUAUUUUUAAUUUCACUUUCGCGUGAGAAUUUUUCAGUUCUUUGUGGAAUUACAAUUUUUUUCCUUGAAGAUCGGCUAAUAAAAUGGAGAAGACAUUUGUUUGUUUGUCAAGAAAUUGUUUGAUGUGCAUUUCUGUAUAUAAUUUCACUUUUUUAUUUGAUAUUUGCUUAUAUUAACAUAAACUUAAGGUGCUGGGAUUUUAAGUUACAGUUCUCAUAAUCAACUCUGCUCACAACGGUAUUUAAAUGGUUCCACUGACUUGAAGUUUCGUUAAAAUGUGAUCAAUAGAACUCACAAAACUUAUUUAAAGCGAAAUUCAUCCUAAUACUUGUAUUACCUGGGCGUUUUAAAUUUUAAACAAUUUUGAUGAUUUUCUUCCUCCGCACUCAUGCGCGCAUUGAUUCCUUAUUUAAAAUUUCUUAGUCCCUUUGAGUUGUAGAUGUUUGCCUAGAAAAAUCUUCAAAAUUAACUUAGCGGUCUGUAAGCGUGAGGGUUGGUCUACAAGUUGACAUAACCUAAGAUCGCAUUUUUUAUUCCGUGGUGUCAUACCUUGAGUGACGAUACUGACGAUGAUUCAAAGGGUUUUUCCUUUCAAGCAAAUUUGCAUAAUGUCGUGUAUGUGCGCAAGGACAUUAGUUGGCCCAAACGAUCUCGGCAGGACUAACGAUAAGCGCGGUUAUGGGAACAAAGGUGCCAUUCAACUGUGCACAAAGGUGGUACAAUCAAUAUUUUUAGUAAUUAAUUAUCAAAUGUGAUUGAUGAAGAAAGCGAAUAAUGGAAAUGAAAGCAUGUAAAUUAAGUAAAUGCUGUGUGGAUGGAAGAUGUGGAAGUAUAAUCAAUUUAUAAAAUAUAUAAUCUACUAGUUAGUUCUUGAUUUUGUAAAAGAAAUUGGAGGACAGAGAAAUGUUAAAUUCUGGUA